rnacentral:rRNA from 1 species
AGGUCUCCGUAGGUGAACCUGCGGAGGGAUCAUUACACAAAUAUGAAGGCGGGCUGGAACCUCUCGGGGUUACAGCCUUGCUGAAUUAUUCACCCUUGUCUUUUGCGUACUUCUUGUUUCCUUGGUGGGUUCGCCCACCACUAGGACAAACAUAAACCUUUUGUAAUUGCAAUCAGCGUCAGUAACAAAUUAAUAAUUACAACUUUCAACAACGGAUCUCUUGGUUCUGGCAUCGAUGAAGAACGCAGCGAAAUGCGAUAAGUAGUGUGAAUUGCAGAAUUCAGUGAAUCAUCGAAUCUUUGAACGCACAUUGCGCCCUUUGGUAUUCCAAAGGGCAUGCCUGUUCGAGCGUCAUUUGUACCCUCAAGCUUUGCUUGGUGUUGGGCGUCUUGUCUCUAGCUUUGCUGGAGACUCGCCUUAAAGUAAUUGGCAGCCGGCCUACUGGUUUCGGAGCGCAGCACAAGUCGCACUCUCUAUCAGCAAAGGUCUAGCAUCCAUUAAGCCUUUUUUCAACUUUUGACCUCGGAUCAGGUAGGG